rnacentral:rRNA from 1 species
UGGGGAAUUUUGGACAAUGGGGGAAACCCUGAUCCAGCCAUCCCGCGUGUGCGAUGAAGGCCUUCGGGUUGUAAAGCACUUUUGGCAGGAAAGAAACGUCAUGGGUUAAUACCCCGUGAAACUGACGGUACCUGCAGAAUAAGCACCGGCUAACUACGUGCCAGCAGCCGCGGUAAUACGUAGGGUGCAAGCGUUAAUCGGAAUUACUGGGCGUAAAGCGUGCGCAGGCGGUUCGGAAAGAAAGAUGUGAAAUCCCAGAGCUCAACUUUGGAACUGCAUUUUUAACUACCGGGCUAGAGUGUGUCAGAGGGAGGUGGAAUUCCGCGUGUAGCAGUGAAAUGCGUAGAUAUGCGGAGUAACACCGAUGGCGAAGGCAGCCUCCUGGGAUAACACUGACGCUCAUGCACGAAAGCGUGGGGAGCAAACAGG